UUUAACGGCCGCGGUAUCCUAACCGUGCAAAGGUAGCGCAUUCUAUUGUCCCAUAAAUCGGGACCUGUAUGAAUGGCUAAACGAGGUCUUAACUGUCUCUUACAGGCAAUCGGUGAAAUUGAUCUCCCUGUGCGAAAGCAGGGAUGCACACAUAAGACGAGAAGACCCUGUGGAACUUCAAAAACAGCAACCACCCCAACAUACAUCCACCCCCACCUCGGGCUCACUUACCCCACGGGCCAUUGGUUUGCAUUUUUUCGGUUGGGGCGACCUUGGAGCAAAACAAAACCUCCAAAAACUGGACCAAACCUCUAGACUAAGAGCGACCCCUCAACGUGCUAAUAGCACCCAGACCCAAUAUAAUUGAUCAAUGGACCAAGCUACCCCAGGGAUAACAGCGCAAUCUCCUCCAAGAGUCCAUAUCGACGGGGAGGUUUACGACCUCGAUGUUGGAUCAGGACAUCCUAGUGGUGCAGCCGCUACUAA
rnacentral:rRNA from 1 species